rnacentral:snRNA from 1 species
GCUUACGUUUCGUAUCAAUACUUC